CAUCAUAUGCUCUCUCUCUUUUCUCGUCCAAUCCUCGUCGGAGUCGCUCCGACGGCGCUUCAAGCGUGACGACGACGAACGGAGGUCCACGGUUCCUUGUUCAGAAGCAAUCCGAAAGUGAGUUUGUUGAAGAUUUGGUGAAGAUUGAUGUGAGGAUUCCGUGAAUUGAACGUUGUUGAUAGAUUUUUGUUGCUGUGCUGCGAUGAAGAUGACGAUUGAAGGAUUCGGAGGAGAGAGUUAGAGGUUGCUAUGAGAAUGAGGAAGAAGAUCGUAGAAAUUGAAGAGGUGAUAUUCCGAGAGAGAAAAGAUUGCUAGAUGAAGGGUUGAAGAUUGAAUGGAGAAUUCGGUUAUGGCUGAGAAUGGAAGAUUGUGAGUGGAAGGUUGAAGAAUCGAUGAAGAUGAUGAGAGAAAGAUGAAGAUUCAGAGAGUUUUUGGUUGAAAGUUUGUUACCGGUUUCUUCGUGAAUUUUCUUUUUGUUCUCUCUUUCUGUUAUUGAUUUUUGUGGUGAAUGAAGAUUGAAGCGAUGGUGAGUCCAUGGAGAUUCUGAGGUGAAGAACCGAUGGAGUCAUUAGUGAAUGAUGAAGAUGAUUGGAGAGAGUUUAGAGAAGAUGAAGAAGCCUCAAUGGAGGGAGAGUUGGUUCUGAGAAAAAGAAUUGAACCGAUGCCGUUUUUCUUGAUUCGAAGUCGCAGGGAACUUUAUUGAAGGAUUUGUUCUUUUGGGUCGGUUUAAUUUGAAGUGCAGCAAGGUUUUUAAACUUGAUGCGCAAGUUCGGUUCUUUCUGGAUGCAGGGGUGGUUUUGGGUGGCUGCAGUUUUGAAUUCACAGCUGAUGAAAUUAGGAUCGAGUCACCUUGGUGUUAGAAUCCCUUUGUGUAACUUUAAUUUUUGUAAUCUUUUUUAAUCAGAAUGAAACUAUAAUUUGGGCUUUUUGGAGGACUUGUUGGAAUGUAUG